GGAAACGACUGCUAAGACUGGAUAGGAGACAAGAAGGCAUCUUCUUGUUUUUAGAAGACCUAGCAAUAGGUAUGCUUAGGGAGGAGCUUGCGUCACAUUAGUUAGUUGGUGGGGUAAAGGCCUACCAAGACUAUGAUGUGUAGCCGGGCUGAGAGGUUGAACGGCCACAUUGGGACUGAGACACGGCCCAAACUCCUACGGGAGGCAGCAGUAGGGAAUUUUCGGCAAUGGAGGAAACUCUGACCGAGCAACGCCGCGUGAACGAUGAAGUAUUUCGGUACGUAAAGUUCUUUUAUUAGGGAAGAAUAAAUGAUGGAAAAAUCAUUCUGACGGUACCUAAUGAAUAAGCCCCGGCUAACUAUGUGCCAGCAGCCGCGGUAAUACAUAGGGGGCAAGCGUUAUCCGGAAUUAUUGGGCGUAAAGGGUGCGUAGGCGGUUAAAUAAGUUUAUGGGCUAAGUGCAAUGCUCAACAUUGUGAUGCUAUAAAAACUGUUUAGCUAGAGUAAGAUAGAGGCAAGUGGAAUUCCAUGUGUAGUGGUAAAAUGCGUAAAUAUAUGGAGGAACACCAGUAACGAAAGCGGCUUGCUGGGUCUUUACUGACGCUGAGGCACGAAAGCGUGGGGAGCAAACAGGAUUAGAUACCCUGGUAGUCCACGCCGUAAACGAUGAGUACUAAACGUUGGGUAAAACCAGUGUUGAAGUUAACACAUUAAGUACUCCGCCUGAGUAGUACGUACGCAAGUAUGAAACUUAAAGGAAUUGACGGGACUCCGCACAAGCGGUGGAUCAUGUUGUUUAAUUCGAAGGUACCCGAAAAACCUCACCAGGUCUUGACAUGCUUCUGCAAAGCUGUAGAAACACAGUGGAGGUUAUCAGUUGCACAGGUGGUGCAUGGUUGUCGUCAGCUCGUGUCGUGAGAUGUUGGGUUAAGUCCCGCAACGAGCGCAACCCUUAUUGUUAGUUACCAGCACGUAAUGGUGGGGACUUUAGCAAGACUGCCAGUGAUAAAUUGGAGGAAGGUGGGGAUGACGUCAAAUCAUCAUGCCCCUUAUGACCUGGGCUACAAACGUGAUACAAUGGCUGUUACAAAGGGUAGCUGAAGCGCAAGUUUUUGGCGAAUCUCAAAAAAACAGUCUCAGUUCGGAUUGAAGUCUGCAACUCGACUUCAUGAAGUUGGAAUCGCUAGUAAUCGCGAAUCAGCAUGUCGCGGUGAAUACGUUCUCGGGGUUUGUACACACCGCCCGUCAAA
rnacentral:rRNA from 2 species